rnacentral:tRNA from 1 species
AUCAUUGUAGUUUAAAUUAAAAUAUUGAAUUGUGGUUUCAAAGACUAAAAUGGUAAUA